AAUAAAUAAGGAAAAUUUUUGUAAAUUAAUUUUAGACUUCUUAACCUACUGGUAAAGAUUGUACGCUAAUCUUUAUUUUUGUGCAAAAUUUGGACUAUUCAAAAAAAUGAAAUUUAUAAUAUUUUUUGGCUUAAUAGCAUUAAGCAUAAUUUCCGUAUUAGCAGAUUGUAAUUAUAAAGGAAAAUUAUAUAAAGUUGGAGAAUCUUGGAAAACUGAUGGUCAUUGUUCUGAAAUCAAAUGUACUGGAGAUAACGAGCUAAAAGGAAAAGAGUAAUUUAAAUUAUCUAUACAUUAAAAAAAAGGCUUCUAAUAAAAAUAUUUUUAGUUGUGGUGUAUAUGCUGUGGCUAAUCCAGAUGAAUAUGAUUAUAUACCUGAAGAUCCGACGAAACCAUUUCCAGAAUGUUGCUCGAGUUAUAAAAAGAAAAAACACUGAAGAAUUUUUUUUUGUAUACAUGACAAAAUGAAAAAAAAUUUAAAGCAUAGCUAUAAUUAAAAUUGCAAAAA